rnacentral:misc_RNA from 1 species
AACAUCGCGCACCUGCGGGAACCUGCGGAGGGAUCAUUACCGAGUUAUACAACUCCCAAACCCACUGUGAACCUUACCUCAGUUGCCUCGGCGGGAACGCCCCGGCCGCCUGCCCCCGCGCCGGCGCCGGACCCAGGCGCCCGCCGCAGGGACCCCAAACUCUCUUGCAUUACGCCCAGCGGGCGGAAUUUCUUCUCUGAGUUGCACAAGCAAAAACAAAUGAAUCAAAACUUUUAGCAA